UUGCUCAGGCAGCACAUAUGACAAAAUUGGAACGAUACAGAGAAGAUUAGCAUGGC
rnacentral:snRNA from 1 species